CCCCUGACAGAUGCCAGCGAGGGCUGCACCGUGGUUGGCGGGGGCGUCCAGCCCUACCUAUAGAAGGGCCGAGCACAGCAAUGCAAGUAGGUGUCACAAUUGCUUUGAAAAAAAAAAAAAAAAAAAAAAAAGUCAGGAGGCCAUUCUCUCUUCCCAAGCUCAUAAAUUUACAGAUACAACAAACAGAUGUCUAAAUCCAGACCACAUCUUGUGCCACUGUAAAAGAGAAGGAUCCACACAGCACUCUCAACCCACAGACUCUAACAAUUGGAACAGACUAUUGUUGGACAUACGUGAAUUUGUUGGCAUAGUAUAGUUUCCCCUAUGUAUGUGUGACUUUUGAAAACAAUCUGUUUUUCUCAGGAUAUCUUGAAUUGAUCACUUCAUUGCCACGGUAUAUAUUCUAUAGGUGUGAUAGGAUUUACUGUAAAGUUUAUUUGUAAAAGAUGUACACAGUAGAAAUAAAACGUGAUUGAAGAACUUGAGUACUUCAGAAGUGGAAACAAAUUUGAUAUUUAUUUUUAUAAUGAUAUAAAGCUUCUAGUAAUUUAUGCAAGUUGUAUUGCAAUGGAAUCUAAACUUUUUGUAAAUAAAUUCUGCCUGGUUUUUAUUUGAACAUUGCUGGUUAUACAAUCUUUGUUGGUUGUUUAACACGAAUUCUUUACUAAUUUAUAUCUUAAAUUGUAAAUAAAAACAGACUAGUCUACAAUAAUAUGGUGUUUGGGGCUUAUUUUUCCUAGAAGAAUGAUUUGGGGUGGAGCUCUAGUGAUAACCUCCAGGUGAUCUGACCUCACCUUUUUAAUGAAAAGCUGUGUGAAAUAAACUCUCCUUUCUGAUAAUUAAAAAAAAAAAAAAAAAAAAAAUCAGAUGGAAGAGAAGUAUACAAUUGGGAGAAACAUGUGCUCUAGAUGAUUUCUAUAUAUGUAUUGAAAAAAAAAAAAGAUGUUUGUGCCCUGAGUAUGCUAAUUACUUGUUAGUGUAAAUUUUUAAAACUUGGCAAAAUAAAAUGAUCUGACACCCUA